UAAGGUCAUGUAUAUGCACAAGUUCAAGGACCAGGCUUUACAGUAAAAUUGGAAGGUAUAAAUCGCAAUAGAGGGAACCAAUCACUUAUUUCCCAGAAGAAGGCUCCAUCUGGAAAGACGGUAACUUGUCGGCAGAUGAUAUUUCUGAUUAUUGAAAUGGUUGCGCAUUUUAUAGUGGUGCUAUUUACCUCUUUCGUUGUCUACACAGCAUGGCCAGGGUCAAAAGUGAUGGCAAGAAGAACAUAACAGAACUGUUCUGACUAACCAAAGGCAAAAGGAUAUUCAAGACUGCAACCAUAACAAAAUUGCCUCUAAACUGGAAAGACAAUUAGCUGAAACCAGUCAACUUUCAUGCUGAAAAGACAGUAUCACAAGUGAGAAGUUCAGAAUACGGAAGAGGAGAUUUUCAAGUUUGUUUAAGAUUUAAGUUGUAUCGUUUUCACCCAAACCAAAUGAAGAAACUGUUUGUAACGGUGGGCACGACCCAGUUUGAUGACCUCAUAAAGACAGUGUGCUGUUCUGAAAUACUGUCAGCUCUACAUAAGCUUGGUUACAGACACCUCACUCUUCAGACAGGACAGGGCAGUUAUGAGCCAGACGUCACUCACUUCAAGGAGCUCAAAAUUGAGGUGUAUAGAAGAAAGCCCUCGAUAGCAGAUGACAUAAAGGAAUCUGAUCUUGUCAUUAGCCACGCAGGAGCCGGCAGCGUGUUGGAAACACUGCAUGCUGGGAAACCUUUAAUUGUUGUCAUUAAUGAGAAACUUAUGGGGAACCAUCAGAUUGAGCUAGCUCAUCAGCUGUACAAAGAUGGUCAUUUGUAUUAUGGGACAUGUAGUGACCUUUUAAAUCUUUUGACCAAUAUGGACAUGUCCAAACUGAAGCCUUUUGAAGACGGUAACCCCCAGAAAUUUGGAGAUUAUAUUGAUAAAGUGAUGGGAUUUGCUUGAUUUAAGUUUUAUAGAGCUUGUUUUCAUGGCAUCCAACCUUGAUGGUUGUAGCGUUCACCUUCCUGAUGGUGGAAGCCAUCCUGGCUUUCUCACCGGAAAGUUCAAUGUUGUCAAAAGCAGAGCACAAGACUAAAGUCAUGGUCCACAAAAUCCUUCAAAUCCUCUGCGGCGUGUGUGCAGCCACUGGCGUUUCUGUUAUUGUGUACAACAAGAUCUUGCACAACAAGCUUCACUUUACCUCCUGGCACGGAUUCUUAGGUAUUAUAACAGUGGGUUACCUGGUGAUGCAGAUCCUGAUCGGGAUGGUAGAGUUUGUAUGGUUCCCCGACAUCCUGAGGCCUUACAUGUCCCUCUUUCAACAGAAGUUGCUUCACGCCACCUCUGGUGUUAUAUUGUACCUGAUGGUUUCUGUCAGCCUCAUGUUGGGCAUGCUUUCUAAUUGGUUCACUUCCAAUGUCACAGGAAGUGCUUGGUACGUCUGUUUUAUGUGUCCUCUGUGGCUUGCUCUCAUUGUGGCCCUGCAGACGACAAAUUCUUACGUACCAAGACUGAGGAAUCGCAGAGGAUGAACUGAGGAACAAGAUGGAUCUUUUUUAACAUAAUAAUCACAUGGUCUUUCAUGUACUUAAUUGAUAUUCAGCUUCUAUUUGGAUUUAGCAUUUUAGGGUACGGUAUAUAAAAAAAUGGCAUAUUGCCAUUGAAGGUGGAGCUUUUGGUUUAUAAAUCUAGGUUCAUAUAUUUUAAUUUGUUUGCUUUUUAAACAUCAAAGUAUCUUUCAUUCCAGCAAAAAGAUUACAUAUCUACAAGCUAUUAACACAAAUUUAGUUAAUUUUAUAUAUUGAUAUGUGCAAUAUGAAAGCUUUGGUGUAUAAAAACUGGACUGUUCAUAAUUUACAGUUGUGAGAUUUCAUUACUACUUGUUGAUGUAUUUAUUAUACUCUAAACCACAAUGUCAAUCAAUGUGUAUUUCGUAUCCAAAUAUUGAUACAACAAACUACUGCUUAAGGCACCUGCAAGCAUGUGAUAUUUUUGUCACUGCUCAAAAAAAAAAAAAAUUUCUACAGGUUGAAAAAAAUGUGAUUUUUAUUUUAAAUUUCUGUACUGUCUCAGAAUUAAAUUUACUAGAAAAUUGCAUGAUAAACUCUACUGCUUAAAAGCAACUGAUAGUUAAUUGCUAGAAUUAGGUGAAACACCUAGCUGGAGAAACUUUCAGUUUUCCUUUAUAUUAUUGCACUGAGACUAACUAUUAAGAUUUUAAACAAUUGGUGAUGAUAUUACUUCGUUUUCUUUUAGAAUAUCACAAACUAAUAAUUCAAACAAUUUAAGAUUGCUCCAUUUGGUUUCCACAAUUAUCCAUAUGACAUAAUUGUAAAAUGUAUUUGCUAGUGGACUAGGCUCAUGAUAACCUUGAGCAAAAUGCAAGUACUUGUAAGCUUCUGGGUUUGCUUCACUAUUCUUUAUUAGUCAGAUCUAUUACCAUGUGAAAUCCAUUUCAGCUGGCAGCUGUUGUAGAAAUACUUGAAGGCAAAGUUCUCUUCACAUUUAUAUACGUAAGCAGAUUUAGUGUCAAAUUGAUAUUUCAGUGAAAUCCAAGAAAUGUUUUUCAAAAUAUCCUUGGUAAAAUUGACUUUGUUGAGGUCUUGUGACUGGAUGUUUUCACAUGAAAAAUGUUUUAAUUGUCCUUGCAAAUUAAAUUGAGAAAAUAAAGCAACAUAACAUAGUAA
rnacentral:misc_RNA from 1 species